GUCCAAACCCUAUUUUCUCUUCUUCCUCGCUAUUUCUUCCCCUCACCGUCGCUUCUCCGUUCUCUCUGUUUAUUUUGCAGAUUUGGAAUCAUCGAAAAGGAAGCUAUUUGUGAAGGAGAAAAAACAAUAAAAAUAUUGAAUCCUGCAGAUAUGAGUUUCCACUGCUCUUGAUAAACAAAGAAAUCCGAUCUUUUAGAGCUUCUGGCCCACUCUAUAUAUUUAGACCAAUACAUUGGAUCCGCUCGCGAUUACAUCUCUUCAAACUACAAUAUAAUUACAGGUGUUUCAAGUUCAACAAGGAAGAGAAGAAAAACUAAAUUCAAUCACCAUCAUGUGGACUUGCAUAAGUAUCUCAUACAAGACAUUAAUCUAAUCAGUAAUCACCUAAUGUUAGGUAAGUUAAUACCUUUACUGAUUUUAGUCUUCCUUAGUUAUGUGAUAUACAUUUCAAUAAUAAUUAAAAGAGUACUUACAUUUUCACCUUCAAAUUGGAUGAGUUGAAUAGUAAGAGUUCUUGCAAAGGGAUUCGAAACGGGUACGUGUAAAUAAAUAUAGGAUUUGAAGUAUAGGUGUUUUUGGAAUAAUCUGUUCAAUAUGUUUGUUUUGAAUUGUGAUUCCUCUUUGGUAUCUUCUGUUCAAUCAGUUCAUAUUAUAUUUUAAUUUAAUUCUAAUUAGGAAUUUUGAAAUUAUGAGUUUUAUUAGUCUCUACAGGGAGCAAUGGAAGUAACUAUAGGCUUGAUUUGUUUGGUAUCCAUGUUGACAGGCCAAUAAUGUCCCGAUUUUUCUGUGUACGAGGGUUUCCAUGAAGAUUCUUACACUGCUUUCAUUUAUGGUCUUUCAAAAAAAGGAUUGCAAUGCACCAGAGCCAUGGCAACAUAGCUGCUUCGAUUACCUCAAACCAUGUACUCAGAUCACUGUUUUUUUAUUUCUAAAAGCAUUCCAUUGUUUUUUAUUUCUUAAAGCAUGAAUAUAUUACCUAUCCAAAGAAUUCCUCAUCCAUACAUGCAUCAUUUUCAUUUGUUGCCUCUACAAGUACUCAUGAUGGCAUUAGGUUGGACUGAAGUUUUAAUUCGUCUAUAUAAGGUAGAAAUGAUUAUCGUGGUACAUUACAACUAGAGAUAUUUGCUGGUGUAAUACCGUUUUCAACACUAUGUACACUAUAGACUUGGGAUUAUUAUACUGUUGGGGUAACAUGUGUGCAUGAAGCAGGGGAUCAGGUACUCUCUUCUUGCUAUCCCUUUUAUGCUUAUGAAUUAUUUGCGCUUUACAUUAGGAAAUUGUAUUUGCUAUCUUAACUUAAAUGGAAGAGCACAUGGUUCUCAACCAUGUACUUGCGGGUUCGACUCCCGCAGAUGGCAUCAUUAUUUCAGUAUGCUAAAACUUACAUGCUUCUGAUGGUAAUAUUAGUUAUGCAUUAUGUAGUGAACCACACGCGUUCAGGUCAAAAUAUGAGAACAAAAAGGUGGUGAAACAGAGGAAUAUGGGUAGAAAUAUGUUGAGUAGAUUGUUGGAGCUAGAAUUGUGUGUCAAAAUAAAUCGGCAAACGGAAGUAAGCAAAGUUAUUUGAGGAAGGAAAUGGAGGCUCUGAGGUUUUAAAUUAUUAUCAACGUCUGAUAUGGCGUGAGAUAUACACUGGGUUGGGUCCUAUUGUGGCUAAAGAACUUACUAUCUUGGCAGAGAUUAAGCAGAAUGGGAAUGGUGAAAUUACUAACCAACAACAGCAGAAAAAUCACCAAUGUAGUCAGCAACCCCCGUAGAACCACUAACACCAGCAUCAUCAAGCUAGAAUGAAGAAAAAAAAGGCCUCAAUUCUGGGACCACAAUGAUCUGAGGUACAAAAUAUUUUAAGGUUUGUUGCAUGGUCGAAAUAAGUCAAUGUCUAUUGAACAAAACAUAUGACGGACUUGGCUGUCAAUCUCAUGAUUAUUAUCUCUCAUUUUCCUUGCACCUUUUUCCUGAUUUUCCAACAUUCUUUCCAUUGCAGACACUCAUAUAUGCCCAUGCUAUGCAUUUUACCCAUAGGUGAUGGUUUCUCCUCAUGAUUGCUAUGGAUUUUAUAAAAAAAAUUAAAAUUAAUGAAAGUAGUUUUUUAAUUUUCA